rnacentral:rRNA from 1 species
AUUGAACGCUGGCGGCAGGCCUAACACAUGCAAGUCGAACGAGUGGCGGACGGGUGAGUAAUGUCUGGGAAACUGCCCGAUGGAGGGGGCUAACUAAUGGAAACGGUAGCUAAUACCGCAUACCAUCGGAUGUGCCCACAUGGUAUUAGCUAGUAGGUGGGGUAACGGCUCACCUAGGCGACGAUCCCGAGCUGGUCUGAGAGGAUGCCCAGCCACACUGGAACGGAGACACGGUCCAGCCUCCGACGGGAGGCAGCAGUGGGGAAUAUUGCACAAUGGGCGCAAGCCUGAUGCAGCCAUGCCGGGUGUAUGAAGAAGGCCUGUGGGUUGUAAAGUACUUUCAGCGAGGAGGCGUUACUCGCAGAAGAAGCACCGGCUAACUCCGUGCCAGCAGCCGCGGUAAUAC